GAUCUGCAUGCUCAAUUCUUCUUGAUAUGAUUUUUUUUUGGUUGCUUUGCAGAAAUGUUAGUGUUGGUCCAUAAAUAUGUCAAGUUGUUAGUCAAUUUAUGAUUCAUAAAUUGGAACUUAUGCAUAUAUCAGGAUUACCCAAGCAAUUAAAGUUGUUAGUCAAUUAAUAUCAUUUGAGUCCAUUACAACUUUUUUGUUUUGUUCCUGCACUCCAGACCUCAAGAUUUGAGCUUUUGUCUUGUUCAGUUUUGAUUACAAUUGAUUAAAACCUCAUGAAAAAUCCCAAAAGCCACCGCUGCAUGACAAAGUUUCAUUUAUGCAAACAAGAGUCCAGAAGAUUUUGACAAGAAGCCAUUAUAUUUGGCUAGUGCAUGAUUCCAUUUCUUAUCUGCCAAGUGCUAACACCACCACCACAAGUAGCCAAAAGUUUUAUUUUUAAUUAUCUCUUAGCAAAAUAAAAGCUCUCAAUUGCUUUUAACUUCACCCAUGGCAGCAACGAAGACAUGUAUAACUUCAAAAAAUGAAAACAAAAAGUCUAGAAUUAUGAGAUUGAUAAGUAGUUCAUUUCAUAUCUAAUUGUAUCUAGUCACAAACUCGUACUGCAUCAUAUCUAAUAAUCUUGUUAGUUCAAUUUUGUUACCAUGGUUCUCUUGCUCUUUACAUGUUCAGUUAGCUGCUUUGGUAGAAUGAUACUGAGGAAGGUGUUAAUUUGAGAGGAAGGUGUCAAUUUUCAACAACCUUUGCAAAGUUUUGGUUAUUUUUCUUGAUUAAAGAGGAAGGUGUUAAUUUGAGAGGUGAUUCUUGUUUUCUGUAGAGAUUCACUGAGAGAGAUAGAGAGGAGUAAUGGGAUUGAGAGGAUGAGAUGCAGCUUUUUGAAGUUGCUGAGAUAGCUUAUUUAGCAGGCAAGCAUAUGAUACCAUGCUCCAUGUUCUCUGCUUGGAACUUGACCAUGUUCAUCACAUGGAACUGAUGCAUGAUCGCGUUUUAAAAUAUCCAGAUCGUGUUCAGAAUUUGUACUUCGCAUUCCUCUUUGUUCUCCGGGCAGUGACAAGAGCUGCAGAUUACUUAGAGCAGGCUGAGUAUGAUACAGGUAAUCAUGAGGAAGACCUUAGAACAGAGUCUUUGAUGAGGCAGCUACUUUAUGAUAGCUCUUUUUAAAGCUAUUGAUUUUCCUUAUUCUCCUGCAAAUAUGUCGAUUGUAAUAUAGGGAAAUAAGGGUCUCCCGCAGAGGAUUAAGAUAAACUAAAGGCUUCAACAAAAGUCACAAAAACGUGACUGCAGCUCCUACUGAACCGCAGUAGAAAAACAAACUAAAAACCUAACUAAAACAACCCAGAAAAAUACGAAAAUUUACAGAGAUAUACUACACACGUAAAGAGUCUAGCACACAAAAUUUGGUGAAUUUUGGAGUUGAUUUGCUAUGGAAAUAAAAUACAGAAAAACAGAGAACAGAAAGAAAAAUGAAAUUGAAGCAGAUUUGAAGUUGGUUGAGAUCAAGAUAAUGAAACUAGCUAGGAAGGAAGUAUCCACCCCCAACAAUAACACACAACACACUUUGUCCAAUUUAUCACCAAUUAACUUAGUUGAAGAUACUCAGAUUGGCUCGGUACGCUUGAACACAACCUAUUACUCUUUCUUACCUUGUACGCUAGGCAGGAAGUGCUCUACACCUAGACUAUUCCCAAGCAAUGCAACCUAAAGGUACGUUUAUUAGAUUAAACAUGCAGAGAUCAUUAAGUUUGAAAAGAGUUUGAGCAAUCACUAGGCAUCGCAAAUAACUUAGAGCCUUGCUAAACCUAGGAUUUUGUUUACUUGCUAGUGAAAACUACCAAUUACUUCUCUAGAUAAUUUGAGGAAUCCAACUAUUGAUCCAGGCAUCAAACCAUCAAAGUAUUAGAACCCUAGCAUGCAUACUAAGUAGUCCUCCAAAGCAUACAAACAUAGAAUUCAUCAAUGAGAAAUUGGUAAACAAAACCUCAACUUUAUUAAUUGAAAACAAACCGAAAAUCAAAGCAUGUUAUGGAUCAUGUCUAGGGGCUUCAACAGCUCCCUAGCUACUGGAAAUUUAGUUACACAUAAUUGGAAUCAAAAACACAAAGGAGUUCAUGAGAAAGGAAGACAACAAAAAUCAGAAAUUGGGAAAAAUACGAUCAAUGAUCGAUCUUUGAGAAACAGUGAUCGAUCGUCUCUGGUGUGAUUUUGCAGUCUUGCUUCUUCUUCUUCUUCUUCUUCUUUGGUGUGUCUCUGGUUCUUUUUUAUGUGAUAUGGUCUGUAUGUGGUUGGUCACUCUAUUUAUAAAACAUGGAAGGAGGCCCCUUUAUGUAGGAGUUGCAAGUUUCAAGGGCACUCUUGCAAUUAGGUCAAGCUUGUUUACUUGUUCUAUUUGAUUUUCUCUUCUUAGGCUGAAUUCUUUGACUUGUAGAUCCUUUACAGCUGAUAUAAAACAUGCUAACAGCUCAUAUAAAACGUGUAUAACUCAGCAAAGGAUCCCCAAGAAGCCUCAAAACAAUCUGCCAAGAGAUAAGGAAGGUGACUUCCUUAUCUGCCUCACUUAGGAUUGCCUUUUUAGCCCUUCUUUUAACUCGGUUUCAUUUCAGCUUUGAAUGUGAUUUUUAACAAGAUAACAGCCUUGAUGUUGAUCUUUAAGAGUGUAUAAAGAUCUUCUAAAAAUCCCCUCAACUUGCUGCCCAAAAGCAGCCUUGAAAAGCCUUCAAGAUAAGGUCUGUCAGAAAUUUCCAGAUUUUCCUUAUCUUCUGGUCAAUUUUAUGGGCUUGUACACCGACCUUGUAGCUAUCUUUCUGAACGUUUCUUAGGCCUAUAAUGCCCUAUGAUAUCAUUUAUUGACGUCCAAACAAUAUCCUUCCAAAAGACUUUCCAACAAAGUCUCCAAAAGACAGCUCCAAUAUGCUUCAUAGAUAAGACUGAAGGUGGAAAGCUGAUCAGGAUGCCUACUUUGUGCAACGUUUCUGACUUGAUUCUUGACUAUUAUGAUCACUUGAUUUGGCUUUAUUGUAGUGAAAUAUCUGGUUUUCACAUGUAGUCAAGAAUUGCUGCCAUGGUGCACUCAAAAUAUCUUCAAAAUGGGGUCCAAAUAUAGAAGAAAAUAAGGCAGAUUCCAGUUUUCAUAUUUUGCUUCUCAGCAACUGUUUUGCACGAAGUUUUCCACAAGCUUCCCUUCUUGUUUCUGACCACAUAAAUGGUUGUCCUUCAUCUUUUGCAUCAGUAUUAUACAUCUGAGCCUUAACUUGCCACAAUUGAGCUCCUAUUUUUCCAUGGUUGAUCCACAAACCUCCUAAGAAAAUAACAAAGUUAGUUUGAUCUUUUUAACGAAAUAACUAAGCAAAAGUGUAAAGGAUUAAACUAUAAAUUCGUCGCAUUUUAUGCUCCUAUCACUUUACAAUCCUAAACUCCAAGCUACAUGUCCCCUACCGUUUGAUGAAGCAAAGCUCUGGAACAGUCAGAGCGGACCACAAUUGAAGCAAAAAAUUCAAAAGAAAUUCAGAAACAUCAGUGCAUUAAUGGAUUGUGUGGGAUGUGAGAAAUGUCGGCUCUGGGGAAAGCUUCAAGUUCUUGGUCUUGGUACUGCAUUGAAGAUCCUCUUUUCUGUGGAUGGUAAAAAUCAUCAAGAUCAACUUGUAUGUCCAGAACUACAGGGAAAAGGAGAAGUUGGAGCAUAGGCUCUAAAAUGCACAGUUGGAAAAGGAGGAUAAGAGGCAGAGCUUUCAGCAACAUUUUUUGGGGAUUGCAGAUAGAAAACGGACACAUAUCUUGAGGAAGAUGGAGGAAGAUCCCUGCAAAGCUUUUCUUGAAGUAGAGGAAGAAAAGUACCUUGUAUUAUCUUAUAAACUCUUGUAUAAAAGCUUCAUUGCUUUUGUAACAUUCAUGAGAAAAAUCCAAAUGUAACAUUCCCUUUUCAAUAUGUUGAAUUCCUUUUUGUACA